AAUGGUCGAAAGUGUUAAGUGCAAAUGAGUGUCAGGUGGGGCGGGUUAGGCAGAAGGCAGACACAAACAAAAACAAAUCGAAGAACUCCGUUCGACACUCGCCAAAUUUAUAACCAGAAAAACCCCCAGUUUGGCCAGGGUCCUGGGCGACUAACUGUAAAAUCAAUUAAAACAAGUGCGCCAGGGUUGUGUCUGCCUGCCAAAUUAUGCGUUCAACGUCAUUUUGCCGAGUUCUGCUUAGCCCCGACCCCAUCCAUUUCCCCUAGGAAAAAGUCCAGUGAACCGUGUGCAAGCAUUUUAACCCAGAGCCCAGGUGGAUGGCUGUCGACUGUGCCCCCAAGGUCAGUGCUUUGGUCAUUGGUGCGACUUUUAAUUUGAUUUCCACUCGGUCCACCCGGGGGCGCCAAAUAGAAAUGAGUUUUGUAUUGCCCGUAGUUGGGGCGAUGGCAAUAGCAUCCAAAUGCUUUGGAUCUAUUCGUUAUAAAUACUAUGGCUUCCCAGUCAAUCCCUGCGUGAAAUAACAUUAAUAUCGCAGAAAAAAGCGACGGGAAAAUACUCAAUUUAUAGAGUAGAACCAAGCCAAUGAAAAACAAUUACAUUCCCGAAAACAAGGCGCAGUUUUUCACCCUCUCUGGUUCCAGUAGCUAUGGUGGCUGUGAAAUUCUCAACAAUUACGGGAACAGGACCACAUGGGGAACAUCCUUUUCGUGACAUGCAAGGAUGGCGAUGAAAAAGGUGCUGGAACUUAAGGCGCAUCUCCACCAGAUCCACUACCAAAGUCUCUCCAAAUGGAUACCUAUUAAUCAUACUCGCUUCAUGCAUAUUAUUAACAUUUAUUACUAAAAUACAUGCCUGUACUAUAA